UACGGAGGGUGCAAGCGUUAUCCGGAUUUACUGGGGUUAAAGGGUGCGUAGGUGGAUAGGUAAGUCAGUGGUGAAAUCUCCGAGCUUAACUCGGAAACUGCCAUUGAUACUAUAAGUCUUGAAUCAUCUGGAGGUAAGCGGAAUAUGUCAUGUAGCGGUGAAAUGCUUAGAUAUGACAUAGAACACCAAUUGCGAAGGCAGCUUACUACCGAUGUAUUGACACUGAGGCACGAAAGCGUGGGGAGCAAACAGG
rnacentral:rRNA from 1 species